AGAGUUUGAUCCUGGCUCAGAACGAACGCUGGCGGCGUGGAUAAGACAUGCAAGUCGAACGGUUUUGUUCAGGUAGCAAUAUUUGGGCAAAGCAGUGGCGAAAGGGUGCGUAACACGUAAGCAAUUUUCCGGAAGGAUUGGCAUAACGCGCUGAAAGGUGCGCUAAUUCCAAAUGGUCUUGGGGGCAACUCCAAGUAAAGCUGAGGACCGGUAACGGCUUGGCGCCUUCUGAUAAGCUUGCGGCCUAUCAGCUAGUUGGCGGGGUAACGGCCCACCAAGGCGAUGACGGGUAGCUGGUCUGAGAGGACGACCAGCCACACUGGAACUGAGACACGGUCCAGACACCUACGGGUGGCAGCAGUCGAGAAUUUUUCACAAUGGGGGCAACCCUGAUGGAGCGACGCCGCGUGGGGGAUGAAUGGCUUCGGCCCGUAAACCCCUGUCAUUUGUGAUCAAUGCAACCGGCUGAACAAGCCGGUUGCUGAUAGUAGCAAAAGAGGAAGGGACGGCUAACUCUGUGCCAGCAGCCGCGGUAAUACAGAGGUCCCGAGCGUUGUUCGGAAUUACUGGGCGUAAAGGGCGCGUAGGCGGCCCGGCAAGUUGAAAGUCAAAUAAUGCGGCUCAACCGCGCUUCGCUUUCAAAACUGCCGGGCUAGAGGUUUGCAGAAGAAACUGGAAUUUUCGGUGUAGCAGUGAAAUGCGUAGAUAUCGAAAGGAACAUCAGUGGCGAAAGCGAGUUUCUAAGCAACACCAGACGCUGAGGCGCGAAAGCCAAGGUAGCAAACGGGAUUAGAUACCCCGGUAGUCUUGGCUGUAAACGGUGCGCACUUGCUGCAAGCUGGGUCAUACCGGUUUGUGGCGAAGCUAACGCGUUAAGUGCGCCGCCUGGGGAAUACGGCCGCAAGGCUAAAACUCAAAGAAAUUGACGGGGGCCUGCACAAGCGGUGGAGUAUGUGGCUUAAUUCGAUGCAACGCGAAGAACCUUACCUAGCCUUGACAUCCUUAGCUUUGGUUCUGGAAACAGGACCAUGGUAGCAAUACCGGAUAAGGACAGGUGCUGCAUGGCUGUCGUCAGCUCGUGUCGUGAGAUGUUGGGUUAAGUCCCGCAACGAGCGCAACCCCUGUGGUCUGUUGCCAUUCGCAAGAAGGCACUCUGAUCAGACUGCCCCGCUUCAACGGGGAGGAAGGUGGGGAUGACGUCAAGUCAGUAUGGCCCUUACGGCUAGGGCUGCACACGUACUACAAUGCACAGUACAAUGGGCUGCGAACCCGCAAGGGCGAGCCAAUCCUCAAAGCUGUGCCCAGUUCAGAUUGUCGUCUGCAAUUCGACGGCAUGAAGCUGGAAUCGCUAGUAAUGGCGCAUCAGCUACGGCGCCGUGAAUACGUUCCCAGGCCUUGUACACACCGCCCGUCACAUCAUGAAAGCCGGGCGCACCCAAAAAGGCAUAGAACUCGGCAACGGGCCUUGCCUUAAAGGUGCUCUUGGUAAUUGGGAUGAAGUCGUAACAAGGUAGCCGUA
rnacentral:rRNA from 1 species